AUACGGAGGGUGCGAGCGUUAAUCGGAAUUACUGGGCGUAAAGCGCGCGUAGGCGGUUAAGUAAGUCGGAUGUGAAAGCCCUGAGCUCAACUUGGGAAUGGCAUUCGAUACUGCUUGACUAGAGUCUGGUAGAGGGAAGUGGAAUUCUCGGUGUAGCGGUGAAAUGCGUAGAUAUCGGGAGGAACAUCAGUGGCGAAGGCGACUUCCUGGACCAAGACUGACGCUGAGGUGCGAAAGCGUGGGGAGCAAACAGGAUUAGAAACCCGGGUAGUCC
rnacentral:rRNA from 1 species